rnacentral:lncRNA from 1 species
GAUUAUGAGUCUGCAUUACUGACCUUCCCUCUCAUUCUAGCUUGUUUGUUUUAUCAGUUGCUUUUUCUCCUGUGUCUCAGAGGAACAGCAUCUUUGGGGUUGGAACUGUCCUUCACCACUGACAGAGUCCACAACUGGGGUCCUCACGUAGCUGCCUUCUGCAGAACAGUCGGUACAGAAGGGAACAACGGAUCUGGAAAGACAACUAACAGUACCCUGAACCAAUCAAUUAAUUCUGACUCAAUAACAAAAGAACUGCACAUGGGAUCUGGGACUUGCAGAUCUUCUCUAACGGCCUACCACUUAGUGCAUUUAUCCAUUAGGCACAAGACACAUCUUUUCUUCCUCUGGGACAAAUUCCAUACUGCACACAGUCAUCUAUUCAGGACAUCCCGUUCUUCCCUCCAGCAGCUCUUAAAUGUAAGACACAAAAGGAGCCUUUGAGACAAGGAUCACAAUGUGCAGCUCUCCCAUUUGCAAGCCGGAUGCACUACAAGCAAACGAAGCCUUGCUUCAAGAACGUGACUCCCAUUCCAGCUAGGACAAAAUAUGGCUUGGGAAAUAGGGCAUUUCCUGGAAAGUGCAAGAUCUGGAUUUAAAGUCCCCAGAAUGAGGGCAGUAUGCAAACAGAUCCUUCUUUAUGGACAACUGCUUUGAUGCAGAAUUAUCACCUUUUUCCUCUUCCUUCUUAAGAAAACAAAGUUCUGCUGUGAUUUGUUACACCUCAGAUUGUGGAAUAAAAACAUUUCUGAGUAUCUGUUAAAUUAACCU